rnacentral:rRNA from 1 species
AGUCGACGAUGACGGAGGAGCUUGCUCCUCCUGAUUAGUGGCGAACGGGUGAGUAAUACGUGAGCAAUGUGCCCUUGACUCUGGGAUAAGCGCUGGAAACGGCGUCUAAUACCGGAUACGACGAUCGGAGGCAUCUCCUGGUCGUGGAAAGAACUUCGGUCAAGGAUCAGCUCACGGCCUAUCAGUUAGUUGGUGAGGUAAUGGCUCACCAAGACGACGACGGGUAGCCGGCCUGAGAGGGUGACCGGCCACACUGGGACUGAGACACGGCCCAGACUCCUACGGGAGGCAGCAGUGGGGAAUAUUGCACAAUGGGCGCAAGCCUGAUGCAGCAACGCCGCGUGAGGGACGAAGGCCUUCGGGUUGUAAACCUCUUUUAGCAGGGAAGAAGCGAAAGUGACGGUACCUGCAGAAAAAGCACCGGCUAACUACGUGCCAGCAGCCGCGGUAAUACGUAGGGUGCAAGCGUUGUCCGGAAUUAUUGGGCGUAAAGAGCUCGUAGGCGGUUUGUCACGUCUGCUGUGAAAACCCGAGGCUCAACCUCGGGCUUGCAGUGGGUACGGGCAGACUAGAGUGCG